UACCGGCGGCUCGAGUGGUGGCCGAUAUUAUUGAGUCUAAAGGGUCCGUAGCCGGCUUCGCAAGUCCCCUGGGAAAUCCAGCGGCUUAACCGUUGGGCGCUCAUGGGAUACUACGAGGCUUGGGACUGGGAGAGGCGAGAGGUACUCGAGGGGUAGGGGUGAAAUCCUGUAAUCCUUCGGGGACCACCGGUGGCGAAGGCGUCUCGCCAGAACAGGUCCGACGGUGAGGGACGAAAGCUAGGGGCACGAACCGG
rnacentral:rRNA from 1 species